rnacentral:sRNA from 1 species
GAAUGUCCUCGUAUUGCAUCCCUCUUUUUUUCGGUUUUUCACUUUUUUGUUUUGCUAAAAAUGUAUGACUCUAUAACUUUUAGACCGUGGAGCCAAACUUAGCAUGCCAUACCUUUUCGGAAUGCCCAAAGAGAGUAAUCUGAUGAAUGAGGAAGGAAAAUGGAAUUCUUCUAUUGUUUUUUUUUUCUACUCCAAAUUUUGACCUCAAUGUACUUUUUCGGGCCUUUUCGUGAUCUUUGCUAUAGUACAGGGCGGAAAUUAUAUGUUCGGACAUUGUUUUCGAAUAUUUUGCAUAUAUCAAAGCUCUUCUAAACAAGAUAGGGUAUUCCUACAUAGCUGGUGGGACCCACGGCAAAUGGAUCAUAAAGUCUUCAAAAAAGAAUAGAUACGAUUGCAUUGCAUGUAGUAACGGAUGCGAUCAUACCAGCAUUAAUGCACCGGAUCCCAUCAGAACUCCGCAGUUAAGCGUGCUUGGGCGAGAGUAGUACUAGGAUGGGUGACCUCGAGGAAUGUCCUCGUAUUGCAUCCCUCUUUUUUUUCGGUUUUUCUCUUUUUUGUUUUGCUAAAAAUGUAUGACUCUAUAAAUUUUAGACCGUGAGGCCAAACUUGGCAUGCCAUACCUUUUCGGAAAGCCUAAUGAGAGCUCUCCGAUGAAUGAAGAAGGAAAAUGGAAUUCUUCUAUUGUUUUUUU